rnacentral:rRNA from 1 species
UACGUAGGGCGCAAGCGUUAUCCGGAAUUAUUGGGCGUAAAGAGCUCGUAGGCGGUUUGUCGCGUCUGCCGUGAAAGUCCGGGGCUCAACUCCGGAUCUGCGGUGGGUACGGGCAGACUAGAGUGAUGUAGGGGAGACUGGAAUUCCUGGUGUAGCGGUGAAAUGCGCAGAUAUCAGGAGGAACACCGGUGGCGAAGGCGGUGGUCUGGGCCGGCAUUGACGCUGAGGAGCGAAAGCGUGGGGAGCAAACAGG